UAUGGCUAUAUCACGUUGAAAUAUCGCCUCAGGUACGAUCACCGAAGUUAAGCAACGUCGAGCCUGGUCAGAACCUAGAUGAGUGACCGCUAGGGAAUAUCAGGUGCUGUAGG